GCCUGUUAGCAGAGGUAGCUGGCGUCAGUCUCAUAAUCUGAAGGUCAUGAGUUCGAUCCUCACACGGGGCA
rnacentral:tRNA from 1 species